rnacentral:lncRNA from 1 species
AAUAUGACCCGACCUAUUACCCUUUAAGAAAAAUAUAUUUUAAACUAAUAAAUAAUCAAAUGAAAAACAUAAUACUAAAUAAGUAUAUACAUAUCAUAUUAUCACAUUCAAAACAUAAAAACGCAUUUGUCUUUCAAGUAUUACAUAUUUACAUACACAAAAUAAUAAUAAUAAAAAAAAACUUUAGAACAUUACAAAAUAUCAAAUGUUCAAAAGAUUUGCAAAAUUAAGGGAGUUAUGUUUCAAGGUUUGGAAUCUUGCACAUUUCUUACAAUCACACUCUUCAAUUUUCAUUAGUCACCAUGAGAAGCGGUAUUGGAACUUUGGCUUGAUAUAUUAUCUUCAAGAGUUAUAUUGAUGAUAUUUUCAGUGUGGCUUUCUACAUUAGCACUCUCUUAUCAUUUAUCCUAUGGCUAUUGUUUAAGUAAAGUCUUUAAUAGUUUUUUAAUUAAUGUAGAAGUGUGAAAAAAUAUAGAAAAAAAUAUAUAAACGCUCGUAAUGACAAGCUUUACAACUUUCGGGAAGGGCUUAACUUUGAAAUGUGUCACUAUAAUCAUAUAAAUCAUAGAUCAAAAUUUAACCAUCAAUUGUUGUUUACAUUCAUGCUUUAUUUUUCUCACCAAAUUUUGUUUUUUUCUUCAGAUGAUCUAUUAGAGGAUACAUGAAGAUGAACGAUUCGGAUCAUUGAUAUUAUGCUUAGAGUUUUACCGUUAGUGAAAAUAUUGCUUGGUGUUUAUAAAGUUUGUACAAACUACAUAACAUCGACUCAUAUUUCAAUUAACUGUAAAUAUUGGGACGUGAUAUCAAAGAUCCGAACCGUUCAUCUUCCUACAUCCUCCAGAAUAUCAUGUUUUCAAAAAUGAAAAUUUUAAAAAUGAAAUUCAAUAUAAAGAAUAAAGCCUAAACGACAAUCGAUUGUUAAAUACAAAUUUAAGGUUUAUGGAUUAUAGCGUCGGAUUUUGAAGUUGACCCGUUCACGAAAGUUGUAAAGCAUGUCACUACAAGUGAUUGUAUAUUUUUUUAAACAUUUCUUACACUUCUACAAUAAUUAUUAUUAAUUUUAUUACUUUUACACUAACAUAAAAAACACUAUUCAUGGCGGUUUGGAGGGCUUUAAAAAUCUAAACGAUAAUGUAAGUGUAACCAUUGUCUACUCAUGGAGGAAUUAUGAAUCACGAGUGUUUAUAUAUAAUUUCACAUGUUUCAUACUUGUAGGGAUGUCUUAUUGCCUAUACUAAUACUAUACUAGUUGAUUUUAAUUUUGGACAACAACAUGUUAAGUAAAAUUUAUCAUAUUAACGAUAAUAAGAAACUCUCAUAAUAAAGAUAAAUAAAUGAAUAAAACUUAAUUUUUUUAACU